rnacentral:rRNA from 1 species
UACGGGGGGAGCAAGCGUUGUUCGGAUUUACUGGGCGUAAAGGGCGCGUAGGCGGCCACCGCAAGUCGACUGUGAAAUCUCCGGGCUUAACCCGGAAAGGUCAGCCGAUACUGCGGGGCUAGAGUGCAGGAGGGGCAACUGGAAUUCUCGGUGUAGCGGUGAAAUGCGUAGAUAUCGAGAGGAACACCGGUGGCGAAGGCGGCCCCCUGGUUGGAUACUGACGCUGAGACGCGAAAGCGUGGGGAGCAAACAGG